CUUCCCCCGGGAAUCUCGUAGGUUAAGUCAUCGCAUCUUAUCGUGAUGACUCUGCAAUCACCACGACACCGUUGCCGUGUAUAGAUCGAAGGAUCGCCCGAUCGAAAAAUCGGCCCCGUACGGUCGUAAAUAAUUUAUACGUUCUUAUAUAAUAAUAAUAAUAAAAAUAGUAAUAUAUAUAUACAUAGUAAUAUGAAAUAUUGGGAGACAGGCGAACAGUACAGGGGAGGGAGAGCUCGGCAUAGCAGAUAUUGAUGGACUCGAUUGUUUUGGCCGUACACGUCCGAAAUAAAGCGA